GGACCAAGGAGUCUAGCAUGUGCGCGAGUCAUUGGGACUCUAACGAAACCUAAAGGCGUAAUGAAAGUGAAGGCCCGCCUAGCGCGGGCCAAGGGAGGAUGGGCUUUCCCGUGGGAUCGCUCCGCACUCCCAGGGCGUCUCGUUCUCAUUGCGAGAAGAGGCGCACCAAGAGCGUACACGCUGGGACCCGAAAGAUGGUGAACUAUGCCUGGUCAGGACGAAGUCAGGGGAAACCCUGAUGGAGGUCCGUAGCGAUUCUGACGUGCAAAUCGAUCGUCGGAACUGGGUAUAGGGGCGAAAGACUAAUCGAACCAUCUAGUAGCUGGUUCCCUCCGAAGUUUCCCUCAGGAUAGCUGGCGCUCGCUUCUCGCGAGUCUCAUUCGGUAAAGCGAAUGAUUAGAGGCAUUGGGGUCGAAACGGCCUCAACCUAUUCUCAAACUUUAAAUGGGUGAGAUCUCCGGCUUGCUUGAACUGUGAAGCCGCGAGAUAUCGGAUCAGAGUGCCAAGUGGGCCACUUUUGGUAAGCAGAACUGGCGCUGUGGGAUGAACCAAACGCCGAGUUAAAGCGCCUAAAUCGACGCUUAUGGGAUACCAUGAAAGGCGUUGGUAACUUAAGACAGCAGGACGGUGGCCAUGGAAGUCGGA
rnacentral:rRNA from 2 species